CCUACGGGAGGCAGCAGUGGGGAAUUGUUCGCAAUGGGCGCAAGCCUGACGACGCAACGCCGCGUGGAGGAUGAAGACCUUCGGGUCGUAAACUCCUUUCGAUCGAGACGAAUGUUUUCCGGGUGAACAAUCCGGAAAAGUGACGGUACCGAGAGAAGAAGCCCCGGCUAACUCUGUGCCAGCAGCCGCGGUAAUACAGGGGGGGCAAGCGUUGUUCGGAAUUACUGGGCGUAAAGGGCUUGUAGGUGGCCAACUAAGUCAGACGUGAAAUCCCUCAGCUUAACUGGGGAACUGCGUCUGAUACUGGAUGGCUUGAGUUUGGGAGAGGGAUGCGGAAUUCCAGGUGUAGCGGUGAAAUGCGUAGAUAUCUGGAGGAACACCGGUGGCGAAGGCGGCAUCCUGGACCAACACUGACACUGAGGAGCGAAAGCCAGGGGAGCAAACGGGAUUAGAUACCCCGGUAGUCCUGGCCCUAAACGAUGAAUGCUUGGUGUGGCGGUAUCGAUCCCUGCCGUGCCGAAGCUAACGCAUUAAGCAUUCCGCCUGGGGAUACGGUCGCAAGGCUGAAACUCAAAGGAUUGACGG
rnacentral:rRNA from 1 species